rnacentral:lncRNA from 1 species
AAAAAAAAAAAUCGUAUUUUUCUCUCAAAGUUUUCUCUCUGUUUUUCCUUUUAUUUUGAAGAAUUCCCUCAAUUAGUCAGAGAUUUGUUUCGAUUAUUCAUCGAUCAGCAAGUUUCUUUCGAUUUCAUAGAUCGCGAGUCUGGAUUUAGGAUCUAGGGUUUUGAUGGGACUUCAAAGAUGCUUUAUUUUGCGUGAAUCUGCUACCGUCGUCUUCUUCAUGAUGAUUUUGGUUAGUUCCCUUCCUAAUCUUUCAGGAUUUUGUUUUUUUGGGGUCUCCAAGUUUUUCUAAUGGUUCAUGUAUACUUUUUGUUUUGUUUUGAGUAGGGUUUCUAAGAAGCUUGUCUCCUCUGCUUGAAACCGUCAUGAAGGUAUGUGUAUCGCUUGUCUUUCCUGAUUUUAAUUGGUUUUGGUUUUCUUUUUGGUUUUGUUUUUUGAGGACUGAAAUCGAACGAGAACAAACACGUACGAUAAGUUCUUGUCGAUGAUUUUUUGUUUCGUUUUGCAAUUGAUAAGAUUCCUCUUUUGAUUUUGUUCUACAGAACUUUCUUGGGUUUUUAUUUUUUGGUUGAUGUUUUUGUUUUUCUUUCAAAACCCAAAAAGAUUCAUUGGCAGACACUAAUCUAAUAG